rnacentral:rRNA from 1 species
GUGAGGAAUAUUGGUCAAUGGGCGAGAGCCUGAACCAGCCAAGUCGCGUGAAGGAAGAAGGAUCUAUGGUUCGUAAACUUCUUUUGCAGGGGAAUAAAGUGCAGGACGUGUCCUGUUUUGUAUGUACCCUGAGAAUAAGGAUCGGCUAACUCCGUGCCAGCAGCCGCGGUAAUACGGAGGAUCCGAGCGUUAUCCGGAUUUAUUGGGUUUAAAGGGUGCGUAGGUGGUUUGAUAAGUCAGCGGUGAAAGUUUGAAGCUUAACUGUAAAAAUGCCGUUGAAACUGUAGGACUUGAGUGUAAAUGAGGUAGGCGGAAUGCGUGGUGUAGCGGUGAAAUGCAUAGAUAUCACGCAGAACUCCGAUUGCGAAGGCAGCUUACUAAGCUACAACUGACACUGAAGCACGAAAGCGUAGGGAUCAAACAGGAUUAGAUACCCGUGUAGUCC